GCAAUUUUCUAGGUAUUCUGGGGUGAAUUAUUUCCUGAGCUUUUGUUCCAAAGUCAUGGAUAGAACAAGGAUAAUGGAAAUGCUCUGGUGAAGAAACUAGGAAAGAAUCCCAGGGCUGGGUCAGUCUCCACGAGCUGGAUGAGCCACCGUCGUGCUUCAGAAUCAGCUACGCUCCUUUAAGAUAUUGGUGGGGGAUUAAAUGAUUGAGCACAGCCCUGCCGAAAAAGACAUGGGGGUACUGGUGGAUGAGAAGCUGGACAUGAGCCAGCAAUGUGCCCUUACUGCCCAGAAAGCCAGUGUAUCAAAAGCAGCGUGGUCAGCUGGGAGGUGAUCCUGUCCCUCUACUCUGCUCUGCUGAGGCCUCACCUGGAGUACUGUGUCCAGAUGUGGAGUCCUCAGCACAGGAGAGACAUGGACCUGUUGGAGCGCAUACAGAGGAGGGCCACAAAAAUAAUCCAAGGGAUGGAACACCUCUCUUACAAGAGCAGGAUGAGAAAGCUGGAGCUCUUCAGCGUGGAGAAGACAAGGCUCCGGGGACACCUGAUAGGGGCCUUUCAGUGUCUGAAGGGGACCUACAGGAAAGAAGGGGACAGAUUCUUUAUCAGGGUCUGUGGUGACAGAGCAAGGGGAAAUGGUUUCAAACUUAAAGAGGUGAGAUUUAGAUUGG